rnacentral:rRNA from 1 species
AGCGAACGCUGGCGGCAGGCCUAACACAUGCAAGUCGAACGAACUCUUCGGAGUUAGUGGCGGACGGGUGAGUAACACGUGGGAACGUGCCUUUAGGUUCGGAAUAACUCAGGGAAACUUGAGCUAAUACCGGAUGUGCCCUUCGGGGGAAAGAUUUAUCGCCUUUAGAGCGGCCCGCGUCUGAUUAGCUAGUUGGUGAGGUAAAGGCUCACCAAGGCGACGAUCAGUAGCUGGUCUGAGAGGAUGAUCAGCCACAUUGGGACUGAGACACGGCCCAAACUCCUACGGGAGGCAGCAGUGGGGAAUCUUGCGCAAUGGGCGAAAGCCUGACGCAGCCAUGCCGCGUGAAUGAUGAAGGUCUUAGGAUUGUAAAAUUCUUUCACCGGGGACGAUAAUGACGGUACCCGGAGAAGAAGCCCCGGCUAACUUCGU